AAUAUAAUUCAGUGACUGCU
rnacentral:miRNA from 1 species